rnacentral:rRNA from 1 species
AUUGAACGCUGGCGGCAUGCCUUACACAUGCAAGUCGAACGGCAGCACGGAGCUUGCUCUGGUGGCGAGUGGCGAACGGGUGAGUAAUAUAUCGGAACGUACCCAAGAGUGGGGGAUAACGUAGCGAAAGUUACGCUAAUACCGCAUACGAUCUAAGGAUGAAAGCAGGGGAUCGCAAGACCUUGUGCUCCUGGAGCGGCCGAUAUCUGAUUAGCUAGUUGGUGAGGUAAAGGCUCACCAAGGCAUCGAUCAGUAGCUGGUCUGAGGGGACGACCAGCCACACUGGAACUGAGACACGGUCCAGACUCCUACGGGAGGCAGCAGUGGGGAAUUCUGGACAAUGGGGGCAACCCUGAUCCAGCAAUGCCGCGUGAGUGAAGAAGGCCUUCGGGUUGUAAAGCUCUUUUGUCAGGGAAGAAACGGUGAAGGCUAAUAUCCUUUGCUAAUGACGGUACCUGAAGAAUAAGCACCGGCUAACUACGUGCCAGCCGCCGCAGUAA